AUUGAACGCUGGCGGCAUGCCUUACACAUGCAAGUCGAACGGCAGCGGGGGAGAAGCUUGCUUUUCCUGCCGGCGAGUGGCGAACGGGUGAGUAAUACAUCGGAACGUGCCCUGUAGUGGGGGAUAACUAGUCGAAAGAUUAGCUAAUACCGCAUACGACCUGAGGGUGAAAGUGGGGGACCGCAAGGCCUCAUGCUAUAGGAGCGGCCGAUGUCUGAUUAGCUAGUUGGUGGGGUAAAGGCCUACCAAGGCGACGAUCAGUAGCUGGUCUGAGAGGACGAUCAGCCACCCGGGAACUGAGACACGGCCCAGACUCCUACGGGAGGCAGCGGUGGGGAAUUUUGGAAAAUGGGCGAAAGCCUGAUCCAGCAAUGCCGCGUGUGUGAAGAAGGCCUUCGGGUUGUAAAGCACUUCUGUCCGGAAAGAAAUGGCUCUGGUUAAUACCUGGGGUCGAUGACGGUACCGGAAGAAUAAGGACCGGCUAACUACGUGCCAGCCGCCGCCGUAA
rnacentral:rRNA from 1 species